ACAAUCAGUACUGUGAGUUAGUAGCAGACUUUCAACUGGAGAAGCAUGACUGAGAAGGAUUGAGGUAGCAGCGAAUGGAUCAAAACUGAAGCUCCCACAUCCUACAUGACAAAUAUAACCAUGAAGAAACUUCAGAAAAAUGCUGGACAGGAUGCCAGAUGCCAACACACAGGGCUGGAUGAGGAUGGUGCCUGGCCCCCACAACCCAAUCUCAGUACAAAGGGGUGAGGGCCCUCAGAGCCCAAUCCAGUCUUGAGUUGUCUUCAUCUAGGCCACAACAAUUUGAGUAAGUCAAAGGCUUGGAAAACUCUGGCUUUAAUUAAAAAAAAAGCCCCAACUAGUGGGGCCCUCAGCUUGUUUGUGAACAGAAAACUGGACUGCGCACAGCUCAUCAAUUGCUAGGACAAUUGCUCUGCAGCUCAAGUGGUUUUGUAGCAUAGCCACUCUCACUUGGGCCAGGCUAACUUCAGAGAAGUUAACUCUCUAGUAAAGUUGUGACCUAAGUGACUUGUCUGAUAUUGCACAUCAGUGGCAGAGGUAGGAAUGGACCUCAGGUGUCCAGACUCUACUCAGUAGACUCCUCUCUCUUCUCAAGCUGGCUGACCCAAUGCAGCUGAGCUGCUCAGUAUUUCUAGAAUGUUUUCUCCAUGCAGGCUAUUUCUCUGACUCUGGGAGAAUAUGUACCAAUGCUUUUAUGACCUCUCAUUAUUCUUGCAUGGUCAAAGGCCAUUUUUCUUCUAUUUAAACAGUUCAAAGCUCAAACACUUCAAAUAGCUUACAAAUUUAAAAUUGUCUACCUUUGGUUUUCCUAAACCUGUUUAAAAACUAAGUUUAAUCAUUAAAAUAUUUUGGGCACUUCA